AAGGAAACAGUUUUAUUGGAGCCUGGUGAGACUGCAACUUUCUCCUUCACUUUUGGGAACCAACAAGCAUCGAAGUACGUGGAAUACAAGAUCUCCAGAGCUAGAACUCUUUCUUCUUCUUAUUCAUCUCUGGUGUUCACCUGUGAUAUGAAGUCUCUGUGGAAUUCGUCAGACUGCAGCAAUGGAAAAGUGACGGUUGGUUAUGGACAGAAGACCUUAAGACUUUGCAGUGAGGCUCAUUCCUUGAAGGACGAACAAGCCGGAGGCUUUCUGAAGAUUUUGGUGAGAAUAAACUGCCGUCUUAUCAUGGAAACAUCCACUGCAGAAUUUACG